UAAUACGUAGGGUCCAAGCGUUAUCCGGAAUUACUGGGCGUAAAGCGUGCGUAGGCGGAGGCUUGCGUGAGAUGCGAAAUCCUAUGGCUCAACCAUAUGGACUGUAUCUCAUACGGGGCUUCUUGAGGAUGGCAGAGGCAAGUGGAAUUAGCGGUGUAGCAGUGAAAUGCGUAGAGAUCGCUAGGAACACCAAUGGCGAAGGCAGCUUGCUGGGCCAUAUCUGACGCUGAGGUACGAAAGCGUGGGGAGCGAACAGGAUUAGAUACCCUGGUAGUCCACGCCGUAAACGAUGGAUGCUAUUAGUUCGAGGUAUCGACCCCUUGGGCUGAGAAGCUAACGCGUUAAGCAUCCCGCCUGGGGAGUACGAGCGCAAGCUUA
rnacentral:rRNA from 1 species